UUGCUUCAAAAGCACAUAUACUAAAAUAGUAACAUUACAGAGAAGAUUUUCAUGGCCCUUGUGUAAGGAUUACAGGUAGAUUAUGAAGCACUCUAUAUUUUU
ensembl:snRNA U6 U6 spliceosomal RNA